CUUAGAGAUAAAGCGGAGGUAGUUCGGGGAGACAGGUGGUGCAUGGUUGUCGUCAGCUCGUGCCGUGAGGUGUUGGGUUAAGUCCCGCAACGAGCGCAACCCCUAUCUUUAGUUGCCAUCAGUUCGGCUGGGCACUCUAUGGAGACUGCCACCUAAAGUGGAGGAAGGUGGGGAUGACGUCAAGUCAGCAUGGCCCUUACGUCCGGGGCUACACACGUGCUACAAUGGCCGGUACAAAGGGUUGCGAAGCCGUGAGGUGGAGCGAAUCUCAAAAAGCCGGCCUCAGUUCGGAUUGGAGGCUGCAACUCGCCUCCAUGAAGUCGGAAUCGCUAGUAACCGCAGAUCAGCUACGUUGCGGUGAAUACGUUCCCGGGCCUU
rnacentral:rRNA from 1 species